CGAUAAUAGGGCAAAGGGGGGCGGACGCACACCAAGGGCACCUUUACUGAAAAAUUUUUUUCACUGCAAAAUUUUUGCCUCCCCCCCCCCGUCGCCAAAAAAAUUUCGGUCAGUGUACCAUUUUAGGGGUCAAAAAUUUUUUCCGGACAUACAAAAAUUUUCCGUGAAGCCAAAAAUUUUUCUGGAUAUCUUAAAUUUUCGCCAUUUCUUCAAAAUAUUUUUCUAAAUUCCAAUAAUUUCCCAAAAUUUUUAGAAAUAUUAACUAUAAAUUACCUGAAUCUCGUGAUUUUCCUACAAAAAGCAUCGUUGGAAAUGUGAUUUAUCACGUAUUAUUUU